AAAGGCGCAUACAAGACCUGGAUUUCAUUUAAAGUCGCAUUUGGUUGAGGAAAGCUGUACGGUAAGGUUGAAGACAAUGGAAGACGAACAUUAUACAAACACGAGGACGGUAUAUUGUCUGCCGGGUAUGCCGACAUUGCCUCGUGAAACAGGAACAAGGAACAAGGUACGUGUUCCAAGUUCGAAACUCAAUCUUUGUGCUAGAAGAGCUAGUAUUAAUUCGGAUUUGAAGAGGCGGUCGAAAAACAGUCGGGAUCGACGUCUUGUAACAUACUUGCAG